CCAUUUUGUUACCGCGAGGUAGAGCGCGCUGGCAAGGUGGGGCGGCCGGAGGGCGGCGGCGGCGCGGCGGCGCGAGCGCGGGCUGGUGUAAGGGAGGCGGGGUGGCGGCUUCGCGCCGGGGGCACGAAGUCCUCCGGGAUGUGCAGGCAGGACCACCAGGGGUGCCCCCAGCCGCGGCGGCAGCCCCCGAAGCGGCCGCUGCGGGAGGGGCACCGCGCGCGGGAGCGGCGGCAGAGGCUGACGCAGUAGAGGGUGGGGUUGCACGAGUUGCGGCGCUACGAAAUGACCGGCUACGGGUUGUGCGAGAUGCACCUCCCUAUGCGGGAGCUGGCCAAGCGGCUCCCGCGGACCCGAGAGGUCGGUCAAGUGGUCUUGUUCCAUCCGAACCACGACCUGAGGCCCUAGCUCCUUCUCGAGGUCGAGGCGGUGAACGUCCAGCGCCUACGCCGCUCCCGAAGCGAGCCGGAGGGACAACAUCUCAUGUGACAGUGCCUGCGAGGAAACCUCUAGUUCUGUACCAAACUAGGUUUCACACCCUUUAGUUGACCCUCGCAACCCUUGAGACUAAGAGAAAAUUCUCGCCAGCUGCGCGAUCACUUGGUACGACCGCACUUACGACACCGUCAACAACGCGCGAAAGGUCUGCUACUAGGACUUCUAAGUCUAACGAUAGCCCUUCCCUUCCCUCAACUAGACAAUCGUCCUCAACUCCGUUAGUCGUCAGUGGAUUAACACUUUCUUAAGUUUUAGGGACGACGGGUGCGAGGCCGCCACAACAGGGGUGGUGAGUCGGGUAGUCACAGGGGUUCUAGACGACGACUUCUCUAACCAAUAUGGAAAGAUGGUACACACGAACGACCCAAUUCGUCACGAGGAGUCAUACACUGUUCCUCCGUCCCUUGGAGACUGUCACCAACGUAUCACCGAUUACUACAACUAUCACACUAAGAAGGCUCUCUACGAACACCUCCACUACCGCGUGAACGGAAAAGAGCUUGACGUUCUUUCUUAUUCGGGAAUUAGUAAUGGCAAGUCCUUUUACUCUGCCACGAACUACUGUGGGGACUAUUUAAGUCAUAUCUACGCGAGUUACAGGUCUUGAUGACCCUUCGAUAACCUCAAUAACGACGAGUGUUCCGUCCGUAGUUAGGUUUACGAGAUUCUUCUGUUCCUCAACUAGUAGAAUUCUCGGUAGUUGCUAACAUAAGACGGGCUAGAAGACCAGCGGCCGGUAUACGGAGAAGAGGUUACGUUCUAUUUCAUAUACAUGUGGUCAAUCGAACUGUUAAAUCAUGUCCUCUCUAGUCAAAAUUGUUUAUCCUCGCACGUUUAAAACUUCAGGGUCCAUGUAUAAGGUGUUGUUAGCAUCGUAUGUAUAUAUUUUAAAUAGAGCAGUAGUGGGCACUGUAUGUGCGUGUGUGUGCGUCACUACGUACACAUGAGCUUCGGUAAAAGUCUUGUUUAUUAACAAAGUCAAAGACUCUGCCCCACCACGCUACGAGAGGAAGGUGGUGUGUUCACAAUACGACUAAAGACUCUCGUAAAUACAGAACUACACGGUAACACGCGAAAGUUUAGCAGCCAAGAGACUACAACGACAGACCGCAACUCACUGUAUACGUAGAUGAGUCUUAUGUGUACAAACGGUCUCACUCAUCCACGACGAAAACGAACGAACGAGGUUGAUGGUUAGUUUGACCUGUAAGUUGAAAACUACUCCACGUCGAAUACUGAACGACAAACGGUCUACGUACAAACAAAUACGAUCCAACAACACAACUGUAACCACGUAUAGAUGGACUAAACAUGAAGUGUUCGUCUAAAACACCGACAUUUAUCAUCAUUCUAGAAGAA
rnacentral:rRNA from 1 species